GGAAUCAUUGGGCGUAAAGCGCCUGUAGGUUGUUUAAUAAGUCCGUUGUUAAAGACUAGGGCUUAACCCUAGGAAAGCGAUGGAAACUGAUAGACUUGAGUAUGGCAGGGGUAGAGGGAAUUUCUAGUGUAGCGGUGAAAUGCGUAGAUAUUAGAAAGAACACCGGUGGCGGAAGCGCUCUACUGGACCAUUACUGACACUGAGAGGCGAAAGCUAGGGGAGCGAAAGGGAUUAGAUACCCCUGUAGUCCCAGCCGUAAACGAUGGAUACUAGAUGUUGUGCAAUUUGGACAGUAUCGUAGCUAACGCGUUAAGUAUCCCGCCUGGGGAGUACGCUCGCAAGGGUGAAACUCAAAGGAAUUGACGGGGGCCCGCACAAGCGGUGGAGCAUGUGGUUUAAUUCGAUGCAACGCGAAGAACCUUACCAGGGCUUGACAUACUACAGAUCUUUUUGAGAAAGAAGAGUGCCUUCGGGAAUGUAGAUACAGGUGGUGCAUGGCUGUCGUCAGCUCGUGUCGUGAGAUGUUGGGUUAAGUCCCGCAACGAGCGCAACCCUCGUUUUUAGUUGCCAAUUUAUUGGGAUCUCUAGAAAGACUGCCGGUGACAAACCGGAGGAAGGUGAGGAUGACGUCAAGUCAGCAUGCCCCUUAUGUCCUGGGCCACACACGUGCUACAAUGGUAAAGACAAAGAGUCGCCAAUUCGCGAGAAUGAGCUAAUCUCAUAAACUUUAUCUAAGUUCGGAUUGUAGGCUGCAAC
rnacentral:rRNA from 1 species